CGAGACUGUGAAGUGGAGCAAAUCUCAAAAAAUUGUCUCAGUUCGGAUUGCAGGCUGCAACUCGCCUGCAUGAAGUCGGAAUUGCUAGUAAUCGCGGAUCAGAAUGCCGCGGUGAAUACGUUCCCGGGUCUUGUACACACCGCCCGUCACACCAUGGGAGUCGGAAAUGCCCGAAGUCUGUGACCCAACCUACGGGAGGGAGCAGCCGAAGGCAGGUCGGAUGACUGGGGUGAAGUCGUAACAAGGUAAC
rnacentral:rRNA from 1 species